rnacentral:rRNA from 1 species
UACGGGGGGGGGCAAGCGUUGUUCGGAAUUACUGGGCGUAAAGGGCUCGUAGGCGGCCAACUAAGUCGGAUGUGAAAUCCCCAGGCUUAACCUGGGAACUGCAUCCGAUACUGGAUGGCUUGAAUCCGGGAGAGGGAUGCAGAAUUCCAGGUGUAGCGGUGAAAAUGCGUAGAUAUCUGGAGGAAUACCGGUGGCGAAGGCGGCAUCCUGGACCGGCAUUGACGCUGAGUGAGCGAAAGCCAGGGGAGCAAACGGG